rnacentral:snRNA from 1 species
GUCUUGAAAAACCAAACAAAAAACUAGAAUGAUACACAGAAGGUUAGCAUGGUCUCUGGGUAAGGAUGGCACGCAAAUUCAUGAAGUGGUCCAUCUUCAA